AUUGAACGCUGGCGGCAUGCCUUACACAUGCAAGUCGAACGGCAGCAUGGAGAGCUUGCUCUCUGAUGGCGAGUGGCGAACGGGUGAGUAAAGCAUCGGAACGAACCGUGUAGUGGGGGAUAACGUAGCGAAAGUUACGCUAAUACCGCAUACGCACUGAGGUGGAAAGCAGGGGAUCGUAAGACCUUGCGCUAUACGAGCGGCCGAUGUCAGAUUAGCUAGUUGGUAGGGUAAAGGCCUACCAAGGCGACGAUCUGUAGCGGGUCUGAGAGGAUGAUCCGCCACACUGGGACUGAGACACGGCCCAGACUCCUACGGGAGGCAGCAGUGGGGAAUUUUGGACAAUGGGGGCAACCCUGAUCCAGCCAUGCCGCGUGAGUGAAGAAGGCCUUCGGGUUGUAAAGCUCUUUCGGCCGGGAAGAAAUCGCACAGGCUAAUACCCUGUGUGGAUGACGGUACCGGCAUAAGAAGCACCGGCUAACUACGUGCCAGCCGCCGCGGUAA
rnacentral:rRNA from 1 species